rnacentral:piRNA from 1 species
UAAAAUGUCAGGCUGACUUCUUCUCAAUCC